GCUAGUAAUCGCGGAUCAGAAUGCCGCGGUGAAUACGUUCCCGGGUCUUGUACACACCGCCCGUCANACCAUGGGAGUUGGGAAUGCCCGAAGUCAGUGGCCGAACCGUAAGGGGGGAGCUGCCGAAGGCAGGCCCGAUGACUGGGGUGAAGUCGUAACAAGGUACC
rnacentral:rRNA from 1 species